rnacentral:rRNA from 1 species
UACCAGCACCCCGAGUUGUCGGGACGAUUAUUGGGCCUAAAGCAUCCGUAGCCUGUUCUGCAAGUCCUCCGUUAAAUCCGCCUGCUCAACGGAUGGGCUGCGGAGGAUACCGCAGAGCUAGGAGGCGGGAGAGGCAAACGGUACUCAGUGGGUAGGGGUAAAAUCCAUUGAUCUACUGAAGACCACCAGUGGCGAAGGCGGUUUGCCAUGAACGCGCUCGACGGUGAGGGAUGAAAGCUGGGGGAGCGAAACCACGGG